GAUCACGGUUUCGGAAGGGGCGAAGGCCCUCUUUCGUCGACUGUGUCUAUCGUGCGGCUGCGAUGCCCGCGCGCGCACGUGCUCUGUGCGUCUCGCGUCGUGCGCGAACACAUCGUGUCUGAAAGUUGCGCGCUCUGUGACAAAUCGUGCUUAGGAUUAUUGUUUAUGUCAUGCAGUGUUCCUAUAUUAAAACAUUUUAUUGUGAAAUGUGCAAAAAAUACUACAAGUCGAACAAUAAAAGGGAAAUGUUUUCGUUAAGACUUCAUUGUUGUGGUACGAACAGUUAAGUGCGUUAAGGGAUGGGUAAUACGAACUCGGGACAAGGGCACUCCCGCCACGGGAAGAGCAGGAAAUCAAGGAGCCUGCCAACCUCGCCUGAAGUCAGAAGGCAAGUGUCGGUGCUUCAGACGUC